rnacentral:rRNA from 1 species
UACGUAGGGGGCAAGCGUUGUCCGGAUUUAUUGGGCGUAAAGAGCGUGUAGGCGGCCAUGUAGGUCCGGUGUGAAAACUCGAGGCUUAACCUCGAGAUGUCAUCGGAAACCAUUUGGCUAGAGUCCGGAAGAGGAGUGUGGAAUUCCUGGUGUAGCGGUGAAAUGCGCAGAUAUCAGGAAGAACACCUAUGGCGAAGGCAGCACUCUGGGACGGUACUGACGCUGAGACGCGAAAGCGUGGGGAGCGAACAGG